rnacentral:rRNA from 1 species
AGCAGCCGCGGUAAUUCCAGCUCCAAUAGCGUAUAUUAAAGUUGUUGCAGUUAAAAAGCUCGUAGUUGAAUUUCGGGGCCAGUAGGUUGGUCGUGCCACUGGUAUGCACUGGCCUUACUGGUCCCUCCUUCUUGUAGAACCGUGAUGCCAUUAAUUUGGUGUUGCGGGGAAACAGGACUGUUACUUUGAAAAAUUAGAGUGCUUAAAGCAGGCUCGCGCUUGAAUACAUUAGCAUGGAAUAACGGAAUAGGACGAUCGAACCUAUUUUGUUGGUUUCUAGGAUCGACGUAAUGAUUAAUAGGGAUAGUUGGGGGCAUUAGUAUUCAAUUGUCAGAGGUGAAAUUCUUGGAUUUAUUGAAGACUAACUACUGCGAAAGCAUUUGCCAAGGAUGUUUUCAUUAAUCAAGAACGAAAGUUAGGGGAUCGAAGACGAUCAGAUACCGUCGUAGUCUUAACCAUAAACUAUGCCGACUAGGGAUCGGAUGAAGUUAAUUUUUAAUGACUCAUUCGGCGCC